UAAAAAACGGCUGUAAUGAUACGAGAUAUUUCAUGUACCAAUGAUUGGAUAUUUUUGAAUAUUUUAUGUAUGAAGAAUUUUAUGGUGUUUGAUAUAUUCUCCUGUGCCAAGAAGCUCAUAAGCCAAUGGUUAGGCACCCUGCACCUUCAUUUGACAUCACAUUUCAAUCCCUCUCCCUAGCGUCACGCCUUAAAAAGAUAUUUAUGACAAAGUGUUACUUUCUAAAUUUCCUAUAGGAUUAGGCAGGGACGGAUCUACAGUGUAAGGUACGGGGGCACGUGCCCCCUACUACUUAUUAAGUGCUACUUAGUUAUAUAUGAAAACUGUUAAUUUCGGUAGAGCUGUCGGUAAAGAUUCCCCUUGUCAACUCCAGCAUGUCUCGAGUUCGAAGCUCCCACUCUGUGUCCUUCAUUUCCUUUUUGCAUUAUAAUUAAUGGGUUGUUUCACACGUUUACGCUGUGCUGUAUUUUUCUUUCGUUAUUAUUGUAGCAUUUUCCUACUUUUUUGUUUUAUUGUAAUAUUAUUCUUUUUUUUCUUUGUUAGCAAUGCCUUUUCUUUAUUUUCUUUUUCAUAGUUCUUUUCUUUAUUUGCCUUUUCAUAAUUUUGAAGCAUAUUUCCUUGUUUUAACAGUAAACAUUCACAAUUGUAUUCAUACUAAUUAAUAAUUAAUAAUAUAUUUUUAAUUUAACAACUUAAAAUUUAGUUUUAAUGAUAUGAUGACCAAAAAGUUAUGUAUGACACUAACAUAUUGUUAUAUAUAUAUAUAUAAUUUGAAGACCAUUUUCUAUAUAUUUUAAAAUUAAUGUGUAAUUUAUAACAUUUGUAAAAAUAAUAAUAUAAAUUUAUUAUGAGUUGAAUAAAAUUAGUGUUAUUGUUGUUUUAAUAGUUUAUAGUUGCUUAUCUUUUGUUAUUAACAGUUAACAAUAUUUAUUAGAAAAUUUCUAUGGGCAAUUCUCUCAAAUAGACAUUUUUAAGUUUUGUGUCACAAAAAUAGACCUCAAAAAAUAAAAUGACCAAAAUAGAUUUUUUUAUUUUAAAAAUUUUAAUAUUUUUUUAGUUUUUAAAAUUUUAAAUCAUACCUCCAAAACCCCACCCCUUAACUCUAAACCCUAAACCUAAAUCAUAAACCCUAAACCUAAAUCAUAAACCCUAAACCCUAAAUUCUAAACCAUAAACCCAAAAACAUACCACUUAAUAAAAUAUUUUGGUCAUUUUGAUCUUUAAUAGCUAUAUUUGUGCCAAAAACAUUUUUAGGUCUAUCAUAAGAAAUUUCUCAAUUUCUUAUUUAUAAUUAUAUUAAUUUUAUUUUAUUAUUAAUUAUGUGCCCCCGUCAAAUAAUUAGUCUGGCUCCGCCACUGGGAUUAGGUAAUUUUGGAAUGUGGUCUAUCAACACUUGUUCAUCAAACUUUGACCAUACAAACCUAACACCUAACAUAUAUUUGGUAAUAUUGGUCUAUUUUAACUAAACACUUACAUUUAGUACACAACUAAACUAGUACAUUUUGUAUCUAUAUCUUACAAGUUACAAACAAGUCAUUCAUGAACCAAGUUUAUAGGUGGUAGGUUAUUAUAUAUGGAAAAGUUUUGAUAUACCAUAUAUAUUGAAAACAUUUUAUAGACAAAAUACCAAAAAGUGGUAAGAGUCUAAUAGUUAAAAAAAAAAAUAUAAAUACCAUAUAUUAGGUUUUAAAACCCCUAUAUUAAGCUUAUAUAAUUAUUGAUCGGCAAGUUUAUUUUUGUAUUUAAAAGGUUGAUUGAGGUUUAAGAGUAAUGGUCAAGUAUAAUUACGAUGCUUCUUAGUAUUUAGGUAAUGCAGUUUCAAGGUAUGGGAUAGAUAGUAACUAGUAAGAUAUGGUACUGGUACAUUUUAGGAGUGUGGAAUGGAGAAAUUCUAUGAUAGAGCAUAAAUAAGCUGAGCUAACUACGCUCAUAUGGUCAAUGAAAGGGUGCUGGUCCAUGGGAUAUAAGAAUGUUACUUUUUGAGUGAGAAUGCCAACAUCAACUACUACCUCAACAAUGACAAUAUCGACAAUCCAAGACUAUAACAUUACCUCAAACUCUAAUACAUAAGUUUGCCUCGAUAACCUUUAGUUACUAAAACCGAUCAAGCAACAAUUGUGAUGAUUUAUUAGCUAGGAAAGCAAUUUAUAAUGAUAGACAAUGGAGUAGUUUCAUCGCUGUCCAAUUUGUUUUCAGUAUUUUGUAACCCUUAGACGACAAAACUUAAUGAAGCCCGCAUAGCUGUGAUCAAGUGGUAGGUGAGAUACGAGAAUAUGCUACAACACUUUUCCGGUGACUCGCGCUAUUGUUGACUUGUUGUCAUCGUCUUCUGCAAAUCCUCUGUACGCAAGUAUAUAAUUCAGAGAGGUCGCAACAAUGGCUUCCGUCAUUCCCAAAGCGAAGGAAAUGGAUCAGAAUGUGAGAGUGCAGCGUGGAGUUCUGGAUCCAUAAUGUGCACAGACAAUGCAGUAGUUUUUCCACGGAACAAGUUUUGGAAUCUGAUCUGAUCUGAUCUGUUCAAAAUUGUAUAUUCACUGUCAUUUGUUAAACCUUUGAAGUUGGUUCAUUGUAAUGCCAUUGAUCUAUAACAUUAUGCACAGUUUUUAACAUAAAACAUUUAUUAAAAUGGUACAUGUUAUGCAUUUCUUGACAGUGAUCUAGACUAGUUACCAGUGUUUAGGUCCCUGUUAAGAAUGCUGAAUUUUUAUUUGUUUAGUGCGUAAUAAUGGCCUGAUAAUUGUAGCUAUUGCUACAUAGUUAGAAGCAACGUAGCAUUCUGAUAAAGACUUAAAACCACCUAACCUAUCGUUGCACCAAACUUUUUUCCAAUCAUAACUUCAAGAAAUCUCGAUACCACUAAAAGCUUAUUAUACGCAUACUACUUCCACAAAUUGUGUUUCUUGCAGUUUCCCUCUCAACACAAUGGCCUCACCUUCAAUCAUUUGGUCUCUUUUCUUCAAUGCACAAGGACCUGCUGCUUCACCGGCAACCUCCAACCAGCCUUGUUCACCCUGUUUCAGCUACUCCGCCUCCAGCAUCUCCGACUACACCUCCACUAGCUCGGGAAAUGGAGUUUGCUGACAUCCCCAAGAAAAGAUCAUGGUAAGAAGACUGAUGGGGAUCGAGGCUAUAUUGAUGACUUUGAAUCGAGACAUGUAUAUAUAUAGGCGCUGAGUCUCAGCUUGCAGAGGAAGGAAAAUAAGAAAGAAGUAGUAGAAGCCAAAGAGAAACAAAGAUUAAAGAUUUUUUUUCUUUUUGGGAACAAGAAGAGAUGAAUACCCAGAGCCAGACAACAACUGCUGUUCCGACAACAUCUUGCAAAAAGCAUGUGAAUGAUGAUAAUACCACUUUCCUUGCUAACUUCAAGGAUCGUUUCAGUGCAUUCGUCAAUACCCCAAUGGAUGAACACAAGACUUGUUUCAAAAACACCAUGAACAAGGUUCGCUCCCAGUUUUCUAUACCUCCUUCGACCAUGGACAAGGUUUGUUCCCAGUUUUCUGUAUCUUCUUGGAUGUCGAAGGAUGAUGCCCAGAAGAAGGUUGAUGACGUGAAGAAAGUGGAGAGUCACUCGCCUCUUUAGGGCAGCAGAUUUUGCCAGAUUCAACUGAAAACUUUAAUUUUCUACUUAAUAAAAUCCACUGUUUUUCUUUUUAUGUUCUUAAUAAAAUAGAUUGAAGUUUUUCUUUAAAUUUUCUUGCUUUGGAUUUUAGAAGUUUAAAAAGUUCCCUUGCAUAAAUGUGCAAAACUACUCUUCAAGUCUUUGGGCGUUAAUAUAUUUAUUUAUAGAAUUCGCUUUUCUU